UGGGAUGUCGCCAAGUGGUAAGGCAGCGGGUUCUGGUCCCGCCAUUCGGGGGUUCGAAUCCCUCCAUCCCAGCCA
rnacentral:tRNA from 9 species